rnacentral:lncRNA from 1 species
GGUGCAAGUUGAUAAAAGAAUUCUGGAAAUUGAAGGCCAAGGAAGAGUGACUCAAAAAUAAGAAGCAGGCUGAAAAAUGAGAUGAGGAGACCGAGGCUCGGAGAGGCUUAUGCAUUUGCCCAAGACUCUACAACUCCACAACUUAACAGGCAAUUGCAUCUAGCAUAUAAUGUGUUGGUUAUCCCCAGAACACAGAGCAGUGCAUCUCCA